AGAGUUUGAUCAUGGCUCAGAACGAACGCUGGCGGCAGGCCUCAAACAUGCAAGUCUAGGGGGUGUAGCAAUACAUCACCGGCGGACGGGUGCGUAACACGUGGGAAUAUACCUUUUGGUUCGGAACAACGCAGGGAAACUUGCGCUAAUACCGAAUGUGCCCUUACGGGGAAAGAUUUAUCGCCAAAGGAUUAGCCCGCGUCCGAUUAGCUAGUUGGUGAGGUAAUGGCUCACCAAGGCUCCGAUCGGUAGCUGUUCUGAGAGGAAGAUCAGCCACACUGGGACUGAGACACGGCCCAGACUCCUACGGGAGGCAGCAGUUGGGAAUCUUGGACAAUGGGGGAAACCCUGAUCCAGCCAUGCCGCGUGAGUGAUGAAGGCCUUCGGGUUGUAAAACUCUUUCGACGGGGACGAUAAUGACGGUACCCGUAGAAGAAGCUCCGGCUAACUUCGUGCCAGCAGCCGCGGUAAUACGAAGGGGGCUAGCGUUGUUCGGAAUUACUGGGCGUAAAGCGCGCGCAGGCGGUUUUUCAAGUCAGUGGUGAAAGCCCGGAGCUCAACUCCGGAACUGCCAUUGAAACUGUGAAACUUGAGGAUGAGAGAGGUGAGUGGAAUUCCCAGUGUAGAGGUGAAAUUCGUAGAUAUUGGGAAGAACACCGGUGGCGGAGGCGGCUCACUGGCUCAUUUCUGACGCUCAGGCGCGACAGCGUGGGGAUCAAACAGGAUUAGAUACCCUAGUAGUCC
rnacentral:rRNA from 1 species